GAUGAAGAACGCAGCGAAAUGCGAUACGUAAUGUGAAUUGCAGAAUUCAGUGAAUCAUCGAGUCUUUGAACGCACAUUGCGCCCCCUGGUAUUCCGGGGGGCAUGCCUGUCCGAGCGUCAUUGCUGCCCUCAAGCACGGCUUGUGUGUUGGGCCUCCGUCCUCCUCCCGGGGGACGGGCCCGAAAGGCAGCGGCGGCACCGCGUCCGGUCCUCGAGCGUAUGGGGCUUCGUCACCCGCUCUUGUAGGCCCGGCCGGCGCUUGCCGACACAUCAAUCUUUUUUCCAGGUUGACCUCGGUUCAGGUAGGGAUACCCGCUGAACUUAAGCAUAUCAAUAAGCGGAGGA
rnacentral:misc_RNA from 1 species